rnacentral:rRNA from 1 species
UACGGGGGGGGGCAAGCGUUGUUCGGAAUUACUGGGCGUAAAGGGCGCGUAGGCGGCCUACUAAGUCGGACGUGAAAUCCCUCGGCUCAACCGGGGAACUGCGUCCGAUACUGGUGGGCUCGAAUCCGGGAGAGGGAUGUGGAAUUCCAGGUGUAGCGGUGAAAUGCGUAGAUAUCUGGAGGAACACCGGUGGCGAAGGCGGCAUCCUGGACCGGUAUUGACGCUGAUGCGCGAAAGCCAGGGGAGUAAACGGG